AAGCGCUUGCAACCAGACUUGAGCGCGGCGGUUCCCCCUUCCUUUUGGUUGGGUUAUUCCGCCGUGACCAGGCCAACAUCGGUUUUGGUGGUUGGUUAAAGGCUUCGGGAAUGUAUCUUUUGGUUACAAAAGACUUAUAGCCCGAGGUGUCAUGCAGCCUACCGGGACCGAGGAACGCGCUUCGGCGAGGAUGUUGGCGUAAUGGUUGUAAGCGA
rnacentral:rRNA from 1 species